GAAACAUAACUCAGUCGGUUAGAGCAUGGUGCUGAUAAUACCAAGGUUGCAGGUUCGAUCCCCCUACAGGACAGAUGCA